UUAUUCAAGAGCUAACAACUACGUGGGGAGCAAUUUUCAAUAGAAAAAAUGCACCUCAACCUUCCUCCAUUUGUCUUAUAGAAGUGUCUCAAAAUCUUUGCUCUCAACCAUUAAAGGAGGGGUACAAAGAUUUUUAAGGUCAUCAACUAAUCAGCUUUUGUGUCAAAAUGGCUUUCAUUUGUUAGAUGGCAUUGUAAUUCUGAUAGAGGUUGGUUCUUGGGAGACAAAAAGAAUGACUUACAAUACAAUAUUUGCCAGAAGCUUUAGUCAUUAUGAGCAGAAAAGAUUAGGAUAUGGAGCAUUUGUGGGUUUCUUGCUGAUGGUUUUGAGUCUUUGCACUGUGUUUAAACCUUACUUGGGCCCUAUACAUGAUUUGAACCUGAAGCUCUCCAUCGGCGCUGACACCAAAUUGCGGAUGGUUAAUGACACCAGAAGCUCUCAACAUAUAGCCAAAGUGGAACACAUUGUAGCCAAAAUCCUUGUUGAAGACACUAGCAGCUUUCCACAUAUUGAUGAAGCUGAAAGCGUUUUACCAAAGAAUCCUCCUAUUAUUGCUGUCAAUGACACCAGAAGCUCUCCUCAAAUAGUUAAAGUUGAAGAUAAUGUAACAAAGAUUGGCAUCAAUGACACUAGCAGCUCUCCACCAAAAGCAGAAGCUGAAAGCAUUGAGCCAAAGAUUCUUGCCAAUGACACCAGAAGCUCUCCACAAAUAGUUAAAGUUGAAGAUAAUGUAACCAAGAUCCUCAUCAAUGACACUAGUGGCUCUCCACCAAAAGCUGAAGUUGAAGAUAAAGAAACAAAGAGAGUGGAGCAAAUGUGCAUUACAGAAGAAAGAACAGAAUAUUGCCAAACCCAGGGAGAUGUCCGAGUGCAUGGAAAAUCCUCCUCUGUCUACGUCGUGUCACCUAAAACAACCAUUUUGGCAGAAAACAUCUCAUGGAGUAUAAGGCCUUAUGCUCGGACGAGUGAUGCAGCUGCAAUGAGUAGUGUAAGAAAAUGGUCAGUGAAACCAAUAGAAGUAAGCCAGGGAAUCCCCCAGUGCACCCAAAAUCACAGUAUUCCAGCAGUAAUAUUUUCCACAGCAGGGUAUACUGGCAACAACUUCCAUGAAUUCACUGACGUUGUUAUUCCAUUGUUUUUGACUUCUAGACAAUUCAAAGGAGAAGUACAAUUUAUCAUAACUGAUAAGAGGCAUUGGUGGAUUUUAAAGCACCAAGCAUUUCUUAAAAAGCUGUCCAACUAUGAGAUUAUGGACAUUGACAGUGACGAGGAAGUACAUUGCUUCCCAAGGGUGAAUGUGGGUCUCAAAAGGUAUCAUAAAGAGCUAAGCAUUGACCCUCAAAAGUAUUCCUAUUCAAUGAAAGACUUCAGGGAUUUUUUGAGAAGUUCCUAUUCAUUGAAGAGAGUUAAAGCAACCAGAAUCAGAGGUAGUCAACGUAAGAAGCCCAGGCUCCUGAUUCUUUCAAGAAAAAGAUCAAGAUCCUUCACCAAUGCAGCUCAAAUAGCGAGAUUGGCUAAAGGCAUGGGUUUCAGUGUCAUUGUUAUGGAGGCAGGGGGGAGCAUGAAAAGCUUUGCACAAGUUGUGAAUUCUUGUGAUGUCCUACUGGGAGUUCAUGGUGCUGGUCUCACUAACAUACUUUUCCUUCCAGAAAAUGCAAUUUUCAUCCAAGUUGUGCCUUAUGGUGGAGUGGAAUGGCUUGCCACCAAUGACUUUGGAGAGCCCUCAGAGGAUAUGAACAUCAAAUACUUGGAAUACAAAAUACAGUUGGAAGAAAGCACUCUUAUUCAACAAUACCCCCGAGAUCAUAUGGUCAUAAAGGAUCCGUCAUCAAUUGGGAAACUAGGAUGGGAAGCAUUUAGGUCUGUGUAUUUGGAUAAACAAAAUGUAAGGCUUGAUGUUAAUAGGUUUAGGCCAACAUUGCAGAAAUCCCUUGAGCUGUUGCAUCAAUAGGUAUGGUUUUUGAUCCAGUAAGCUGGAUGCUUUGAGUGUAGUAAAAUUUUCAUGUUUAGUAUCAUAUCAUACUCUUCAACCCAAAAAGAAAAACAAAGGGAAAGGAAAACCUCGUUCAGUGGGCCUGAGUCUUUCUUUUAGGCACAACUUUUGGGACAUCUUGUAAUAGCAAACAAUGAAUGAAAGCUACUAUGUUCAUUGUUGAAAAGAAUGACGACCAGACAUGAAGCAGAUACAUGAAAUUUCCUGUUGGACUUAUUGAUGAAAAGAAUGCCUGUUGAAGCUGGUACAUGAAGUUUCAACAACCGCAUACCAGUUUUAUCUGAAUAACUUGUAUCAUCAUUUGCAUCAAGUGAAGAAUUUUAAGCAGCAAAUGCUUGUGAAACCCAUUAUUUCUGCUCAUAAUGAAAAUAUCAAGAAUUUGUGAUCACUAA